rnacentral:rRNA from 1 species
CUGGCUCAGAACGAACGCUGGCGGCAGGCCUAACACAUGCAAGUCGAACGCACCGCAAGGUGAGUGGCGCACGGGUGAGUAACACGUGGGAAUGUACCCUUUGGUUCGGAAUAACGUUUGGAAACGAACGCUAAUACCGGAUGAGCCCUGCGGGGGAAAGAUUUAUCGCCAAAGGAGCAGCCCGCGUCUGAUUAGCUAGUUGGUGGGGUAAAGGCCUACCAAGGCGACGAUCAGUAGCUGGUCUGAGAGGAUGAUCAGCCACACUGGGACUGAGACACGGCCCAGACUCCUACGGGAGGCAGCAGUGGGGAAUAUUGGACAAUGGGCGGAAGCCUGAUCCAGCCAUGCCGCGUGAGUGAUGAAGGCCUUCGGGUUGUAAAGCUCUUUCGCACGCGACGAUGAUGACGGUAGCGUGAGAAGAAGCCCCGGCUAACUUCGUGCCAGCAGCCGCGGUAAUACGAAGGGGGCUAGCGUUGUUCGGAAUUACUGGGCGUAAAGGGCGCGUAGGCGGCUUAUCAAGUCAGGCGUGAAAGCCCCGGGCUUAACCUGGGAACUGCGCUUGAGACUGGUAGGCUAGAGUACCGGAGAGGUAGGUGGAAUUCCCAGUGUAGAGGUGAAAUUCGUAGAUAUUGGGAAGAACACCAGUGGCGAAGGCGGCCUACUGGACGGUAACUGACGCUGAGGCGCGAAAGCGUGGGGAGCAAACAGGAUUAGAUACCCUGGUAGUCCACGCCGUAAACGAUGUCGGCUAGACGUUGGGGCUCUUAGAGUUUCAGUGUCGCAGCUAACGCAUUAAGCCGACCGC